rnacentral:rRNA from 1 species
CGCGGCCUAUCAGCUUGUUGGUGAGGUAACGGCUCACCAAGGCAUCGACGGGUAGCUGGUCUGAGAGGACGAUCAGCCACACUGGGACUGAGACACGGCCCAGACUCCUACGGGAGGCAGCAGGAGGGAAUAUGGCGCAAUGGGCGAAAGCCUGACGCAGCGACGCCGCGUGGGGGAAGAAGGCCUUCGGGUCGUAAACCCCUUUCAGCAGGGACGAAAUUGACGGUACCUGCAGAAGAAGCGCCGGCCAACUACGUGCCAGCAGCCGCGGUAAUACGUAGGGCGCAAGCGUUGUCCGGAUUCAUUGGGCGUAAAGGGCUCGUAGGCGGUUUGGUAAGUCGGGUGUGAAAACUCAGGGCUCAACUCUGAGACGCCACUCGAUACUGCCAUGACUAGAGUCCGGUAGGGGAGUACAGAAUUCCUGGUGUAGCGGUGAAAUGCGCAGAUAUCAGGAGGAACACCGACGGCGAAGGCAGCACUCUGGGCCGGUACUGACGCUCAGGAGCGAAAGCGUGGGUAGCAAACAGGAUUAGAUACCCUGGUAGUCCACGCCGUAAACGUUGGGCACUAGGUGUGGGGCCUUAUCAACGGGUUCCGUGCCGUAGCUAACGCAUUAAGUGCCCCGCCUGGGGAGUACGG